GAUGAACGCUGGCGGCGUGCCUAAUACAUGCAAGUCGAGCGAACAGACGAGGAGCUUGCGCCUCUGACGUUAGCGGCGGACGGGUGUGUAACACGUGGAUAACCUACCUGUAAGACUGGGAUAACUUCGGGAAUCCGGAUCUAAUACCGGAUAAUAUAUUGCACCGCAUGGGGCGAUAGAGAAAGACGGUGUUUCUGUCACUUCUAGAUGGUUCUGCGCCGCAUUAGCUAGUUGGGAGGGUAACGGCUUACCACGGCAAGGAGGCGUAGCCGAGCUGAGAGGGUGAUAGGCGACCCUGGAACUGAGACACGGACCAGAGUCCUACGGGAGGCACCAGUAGGGAAUCUUCCGCAAUGGGCGAAAGCCUGACGGAGUAGCGCGAAGUGAGAUAUGAAGGUGUUCGGAUCGUAAAAAUCUGUUAUUAGGGAAGAACAACUGUGUAAGUAAAUAUGCACGUAUUGACGGUAACUAAUCAGAAAGCAACGGCUAACUACGUG
rnacentral:rRNA from 1 species